rnacentral:rRNA from 2 species
UUGUUGGGUAGGGGAGCGUUCUGUAAGCCGUUGAAGGUGACCUGUGAGGGUUGCUGGAGGUAUCAGAAGUGCGAAUGCUGACAUAAGUAACGAUAAUGCGGGUGAAAAACCCGCACGCCGGAAGACCAAGGGUUCCUGUCCAACGUUAAUCGGGGCAGGGUGAGUCGACCCCUAAGGCGAGGCUGAAAAGCGUAGUCGAUGGGAAACAGGUUAAUAUUCCUGUACUUGGUGUUACUGCGAAGGGGGGACGGAGAAGGCUAGGCUGGCCGGGCGACGGUUGUCCCGGUUUAAGCGUGUAGGGGGAGUGACCAGGUAAAUCCGGUUGCUUAUCAACCCUGAGGCGUGAUGACGAUGCACCACGGUGCAGAAGCAGUUGAUGCCAUGCUUCCAGGAAAAGCCUCUAAGCAUCAGGUAACAUUAAAUCGUACCCCAAACCGACACAGGUGGUCAGGUAGAGAAUACUCAGGCGCUUGAGAGAACUCGGGUGAAGGAACUAGGCAAAAUGGUGCCGUAACUUCGGGAGAAGGCACGCUGGCGUUAGGUGAAAGGACUAGCUCCUGGAGCUGAAGCCAGUCGCAGAUACCAGCUGGCUGCAACUGUUUAAUAAAAACACAGCACUGUGCAAACACGAAAGUGGACGUAUACGGUGUGACGCCUGCCCGGUGCUGGAAGGUUAAUUGAUGGGGUCAGCCGCAAGGCGAAGCUCUUGAUCGAAGCCCCAGUAAACGGCGGCCGUAACUAUAACGGUCCUAAGGUAGCGAAAUUCCUUGUCGGGUAAGUUCCGACCUGCACGAAUGGCGUAAUGAUGGCCAGGCUGUCUCCACCCGAGACUCAGUGAAAUUGAACUCGCUGUGAAGAUGCAGUGUACCCGCGGCAAGACGGAAAGACCCCGUGAACCUUUACUAUAGCUUGACACUGAACAUUGAGCCUUGAUGUGUAGGAUAGGUGGGAGGCCUUGAAGUGUGGACGCCAGUCUGCAUGGAGCCAACCUUGAAAUACCACCCUUUAAUGUUUGAUGUUCUAACUCGGCCCCAUGAUCUGGGGUGAGGACAGUGUCUGGUGGGUAGUUUGACUGGGGCGGUCUCCUCCCAAAGAGUAACGGAGGAGCACGAAGGUUAGCUAAUCACGGUCGGACAUCGUGAGGUUAGUGCAAAGGCAUAAGCUAGCUUGACUGCGAGAGUGACGGCUCGAGCAGGUACGAAAGUAGGUCUUAGUGAUCCGGUGGUUCUGAAUGGAAGGGCCAUCGCUCAACGGAUAAAAGGUACUCCGGGGAUAACAGGCUGAUACCGCCCAAGAGUUCAUAUCGACGGCGGUGUUUGGCACCUCGAUGUCGGCUCAUCACAUCCUGGGGCUGAAGUAGGUCCCAAGGGUAUGGCUGUUCGCCAUUUAAAGUGGUACGCGAGCUGGGUUUAGAACGUCGUGAGACAGUUCGGUCCCUAUCUGCCGUGGGCGUUGGAAGAUUGAGAGGGGCUGCUCCUAGUACGAGAGGACCGGAGUGGACGAAUCACUGGUGUUCGGGUUGUCAUGCCAAUGGCAUUGCCCGGUAGCUAAAUUCGGAAGAGAUAACCGCUGAAAGCAUCUAAGCGGGAAACUUGCCUCGAGAUGAGUCUUCCCUGGGACUUAAAGUCCCCUGAAGGAACGUUAAAGACUAUGACGUUGAUAGGCUGGGUGUGUAAGUGCAGCGAUGUAUUGAGCUAACCAGUACUAAUGAUCCGUGAGGCUUAACC